rnacentral:tRNA from 1 species
GCGAGGGUAGCCAAGCGGUCAACGGCGGCGGACUCAAGAUCCGCUCUCGUAGGAGUUCGUGGGUUCGAUUCCCUCCCCUCGCA